CCUGUAUUGUUUCCUGGAACGCUUAUGCUUAGAACCUUGAGCUACUAUGUAAGAUACCCUGCAGCUGCCAUAAGGAGGAAGCCAGGCCAUGUGUGAAGAGGCCAGGCCACAAGGAGAGGCAGAUCAUAUGUGGGCCUUCCUGUUAACAGCCCUCAUCUUCCAUUUGUCCUAAUCUCAGGCACCUGACACGUACUGAGGAUCGAACCCAUGACUUGCACUUGCCAGGCAAACACUUAACGCCACUGAGGAGCCUGUGGGUAAAGACUGCACCAUGGCUGGAAGAAGAGAGUACUAACCAUUUUGGGUAUAAGGUACUAA